GAUGAACGCUGGCGGCGUGCCUAAUACAUGCAAGUCGAGCGAACAGAUGAGGAGCUUGCUCCUCUGACGUUAGCGGCGGACGGGUGAGUAACACGUGGAUAACCUACCUAUAAGACUGGGAUAACUUCGGGAAACCGGAGCUAAUACCGGAUAAUAUAUUUAACCGCAUGGUUCAAUAGUGAAAGACGGUUUUGCUGUCACUUAUAGAUGGAUCCGCGCCGCAUUAGCUAGUUGGUAAGGUAACGGCUUACCAAGGCAACGAUGCGUAGCCGACCUGAGAGAGUGAUCGGCCACACUGGAACUGAGACACGGUCCAGACUCCUACGGGAGGCAGCAGUAGGGAAUCUUCCGCAAUGGGCGGAAGCCUGACGGAGCAACACCGCGUGAGUGAUGAAGGUCUUCGGAUCGUAAAACUCUGUUAUUAGGGAAGAACAAAUGUGUAAGUAGCUAUGCACGUCUUGACGGUACCUAAUCAGAAAGCCACGGCUAACUACGUG
rnacentral:rRNA from 1 species